rnacentral:rRNA from 1 species
UACGGAGGAUGCAAGCGUUAUCCGGAAUGAUUGGGCGUAAAGCGUCCGCAGGUGGCAAUGUAAGUCUGCUGUCAAAGCGUCUGGCUCAACCAGAUAAAGGCAGUGGAAACUACAUAGCUAGAGUAGGGUAGGGGUAGAGGGAAUUCCUGGUGUAGCGGUGAAAUGCGUAGAGAUCAGGAAGAACACCGGUGGCGAAAGCGUUCUGCUAGACCUGUACUGACACUGAGGGACGAAAGCUAGGGGAGCGAACAGG